GAUUUAUUAUUGUUCUUGUGGCUCUUGGGGAUAUUUUGGAAGGGCGUCCACUUCUAGGCCGACUUGCUGUCAUGUUAUAUGCUCUCCAUUUGUAAAUGCCUCACAGAGGACUGAGCUCAAAUCUUUUAAAGAGGAUUUUAUAGCCUUCUCCCAGACUGAUGUGCUCUCACUACCCUCGUCCUGAUGUCCUCUGAGAUCUCCUUUCCUGUUGGCAUGGUGUGCUUUGCAUUCACCUGGAUGGGUAACACCAAACUGACCAGGUUUCUUAUCUCUAUUAUCAUAGUCCAGCCCAAACUCUGUCCUAACGAUCUUUCCUUUAUUGGUUCAUUUGGUACCCAAGUAUGUACCCACCUUAUUCGACAUACUUACUGAUUUAACCAAUGCAACUUGGGGUUUAAUUAUUUUUGCACCUGCAAUAAUUCCUUUAAAAACAAAACAUUCUACUACACGCAUGAUUUCUUCUGCAACAACAUAUGGUAUUGGUAAAUAUUAACCUGUUAUGUCAGAUAAAAAAGAUUGAUUCUGAUUCAAUUAAGAUUUUAAUGUAAAAACUACAAUAUAUCUGUAAUUGCACAAGGGGAUCACAUACUUUCAAGUAGUACUGUAAUUUGUUUAUUGUCUUUAGCGGAGAGCCUCUGCUGCUGAGCAUGCUCUGGCCAUGGAGAAGAAUGAGGCAGCGCUACUCCGCCAGAGGAUUUUUCAACUAACCUCUAAGAAGCUGAAAAUAGGAAAACCUGGGUUCCUGAUCAAGACCAUCCCCAAGCCCCCGAAAACAACCAAGACCAACAAACCCUUCUUGAAAACCUGCAAAGUUCUGAAAGCUUUCAAAGCACUAAUGAAGAUAUGAAGGCAAUGCAUACAAUUGUACAUUUGGUGCAAUUAUUCUCAGGACACGGGGUGAAGCAGAGUACAAUAAAUAAAUCCAGAUG
ensembl:lncRNA